CUGCUACCUAUGAUACCCUGAUGCAGAUGAAGUACCUGGACAUAGUGGUGAAUAAAACUCUCAGAUUGUAUCCAGUUGGUGCCAGAAUUGAGAGAAUAUUUAAGAAAGAUAUUGAAAUCAGUGGAGUAUUCAUUAGUAAGGGGACGCUGGUGGUGAUACCAAUCUUUGUUCUACAUCGAGACCCAAAGUAUUGGCCAGAGUCUGAGGAGUUCCGCCCUGAAAGGUUCAAUAAGAACAAGGACAGCAUCGAUUCUUACGUGUACAUGCCCUUUGGAAAUGGCCCCUGAAACUGCAUUGUCAUGAGGUUUGCUCUCAUGAACAUGAAACUUGCUCUUGUCAAUACAGAACUUCUCCUUCCAAAUUUGUAAGGAAACACAGAUUCCUCUGAAAUUAAGCUAUCAAGGACUUCUUCAACCUGAAAAGGCUAUUAUUCUGAAGGUUUUGUACAGAGAUUGGGCAAUUAGUGGAGGCUGAACUUCCCUAAAAAUUUUUGCAUGGUUCUUCUUGGAGACUGGGAUCCAGAACAUCAGAGAAAAAUUUUUUUGUGAAGAAAACUCAAAAUGAAGAUAGACUCUAUAUUCCUCAGUGGAUGAAUGAUAAUAGAUGCUGGAUCUUUGCUGAACUUGCUCAGUGCCUGUGCAGAGUAUUAUCUAUUUUAUGAUGGAAAGGAGGUGCCCACCUCAGUGCCAGAUGUGAAGACUCAGCCUUCUGGGUCUAAUGGACUCUCUCUUCUCACCACCAGUUAGUCCUGGCAGCUUCUCCUGAGCUCUGAUCAGAGAAUCAACAAUUAUCACCAAAUUUAUCAACAAUUUUUUAAUGAAAAUGAGGAUUAUUGUGGUGGCUUUUGUAGUGACAUUGAUAUAUGAUGUGUUCUUUGAAAUAUGCUGUCAUAAGUUUUAUAAUGAGAAAGUCAAUAAACAUAUCCUUAUAGAAGUUUUAAAAAAUAAAAUAUACUAUGAAGACAAUGAGCUAGAGGAA
rnacentral:lncRNA from 1 species